UUUAUUAAGAGUUUGAUCCUGGCUCAGGAUGAACGCUGGCGGCGUGCCUAACACAUGCAAGUCGAGCGAGAUAUCGAUGUGCGAAACCAGAUGUUUUCGAACUGAUGGCGGAACUUUUCGGUGGAAAGCGGCGGACGGGUGAGUAACGCGUAGGCAACCUGCCCAUAGCCGAGGGAUAGCCACGGGAAACUGUGAUUAAUACCUCAUAACGCGAAGGAGCCACAUGGCUUUUUCGCCAAAGAUUUAUCGGCUAAGGAUGGGCCUGCGUCUGAUUAGAUAGUUGGUGGGGUAACGGCUCACCAAGUCUACGAUCAGUAACCGACCUGAGAGGGUAAUCGGUCACAUUGGAACUGAGACACGGUCCAAACUCCUACGGGAGGCAGCAGUGGGGAAUAUUGCACAAUGGGCGCAAGCCUGAUGCAGCAAC
rnacentral:rRNA from 1 species